rnacentral:misc_RNA from 1 species
GUGAAUCAUCGAAUCUUUGAACGCAAAUUGCACUCUCUUCGGAUAUGAUGGCUGUUUGAGGUUCAGCCUAAAAAAAAUCGACAAAGUCGCUGUGUCGCGGGGACAUUCGUCGGAAAUUGGUUCAUAAUAAGCCUGUUGGUUUUAAGCGGCUUAAAAUGUUCUUUACGAUUACACGAACGUUUCUAAGAUUGACUUACACGUUUAAGGUAUCGAUCAUUAUUAGACGUGGCCGUUGGAUCGGGUCGGGACCAUAGAUAUAUUUUU